GCCAGGCCCCGCCCCUGCCCCCGCCCCCGCCCCCGCCCCGAGGCUCUCACGCCGCCCCCUCCGCCCGCCCGCCUGCUCGCACCUGCGCUCUUCCCGCCCCUCACCGCGGCCUGCAGCCGCGCUCACCGCCGCGGUGCGCCCAGGCGCCCCGGGACCCGUUAGUGCCCAGCCUGCGGGCCGACCGCGACCCCCGCCCGGCGCGAGCCUGCCCCCAGCUCUGCCGACACUUGACCCAGACCAGUCCCAACGCCCAGUGCGGCCGCCCGGGGAGCCGCGGGAGAGGAGGCGGCGGGGGGAGGAGGGAGAGGAGGGCCGAGCCGGCGGCCUGGGAGGCCCGGUUUUGAAGCCGCUUCUCUGCCCGAGUUAGGUUUCGCCCAGCGCAAUUUCUUUCUCUAUGUACUUUGCGAAUAAGUUUCGGAGCAUCGGUUAACAGCCUAUGGGUGAAAUUUGGCUUUCAUUCAUGAAUGAGAUUUUUCAGAGUAGAUGCUAAUGCUUUCAUUAGAAGGACUAAUGAAAGAUCGUCUGUCUUAUACUAAAAAGCCGGAGACACUUUUCUUCACCAUUUAGCAUUGCCUGUUGUGUAGUAAAUGUGCUUGGGAUUGUAACUGGAAUCACUUAAUAAAUGUGACUUGUAGCUAUAAAAAUAUUUGAGAAGCUUUUUGGCAAAUUAAAAUAUUAAAGAUCUUCAUACAAAUCUAGAUUUCUUUUCUCAACAGAUUUAUAACACUAUAGUAGCUUCAAUUCUGGAGUAAGAGCAAAACCCAGAAGUUGACCAAAAGAACAUUGUGGGCAAAUAAAAAUACAUGUGUUUUACUCGUGGGAGAAUCCCUCAGGUCCUCACUGAGUACCUGCUUGUAUUUUUUUGUUUAACUUUCUUGGCCUACAGAAAGUGGGAGCUGCAGAUUGGAGAGGGGUCUCAGUACUUAACUGUGAGGAAAAAAUGGAGUUUGGGGCAUACCCAUUGGGUUUACAUCACUUACAGUAAGUGUGUUUGGAGCAGAGUUUUAGUAUGCACUUCACACUUGCUGAUUGUGAACCCUAUUUUUUUUUUUUUUUCCCUGAGGCGGAGUUUUGCUCUUGUUGCCCAGGCUGGAGUUUAAAGUAUGGAAAUAUUACAGAGGAGGGAAUGUUUGACUUCAGGAACAGGUCAGAGAACGCUUCAUAGAUAUGCUGGCACCUGAGGAGGAUUUUGAGGAAUAAAUGGAAGUUUUCAGUGGAAGAGAUAGAUGGCAUUGUAGAUAAAAGAGAACAGCAUAGUUGAAGAUAUGAACAAGUAAACUGUGUGUUCAAGAAAUUUCAAGUUGUUUUUUCUUGGAGUACAUGCAAAAUCUGAAGAAAGAGGGUUGCUAGAGAAAGCCCUAACGUAUGCUAUUACAUUUAAUAAGUCAAAUAGUUGGCUUUUUGGGUAUGAAGUAUAUGUAAAAU